GAUGAACGCUGGCGGCGUGCCUAAUACAUGCAAGUCGAGCGAACAGACGAGGAGCUUGCUCCUUUGACGUUAGCGGCGGACGGGUGAGUAACACGUGGAUAACCUACCUAUAAGACUGGGAUAACUUGGGAAACCGGAGCUAAUACCGGAUAACAUGUUGAACCGCAUGGUUCAACAGUGAAAGACGGUCUUGCUGUCACUUAUAGAUGGAUCCGCGCCGCAUUAGCUAGUUGGUAAGGUAACGGCUUACCAAGGCAACGAUGCGUAGCCGACCUGAGAGGGUGAUCGGCCACACUGGAACUGAGACACGGUCCAGACUCCUACGGGAGGCAGCAGUAGGGAAUCUUCCGCAAUGGGCGAAAGCCUGACGGAGCAACGCCGCGUGAGUGAAGAAGGUCUUCGGAUCGUAAAACUCUGUUAUUAGGGAAGAACAAAUGUGUAAGUAACUAUGCACGUCUUGACGGUACCUAAUCAGAAAGCCACGGCUAACUACGUG
rnacentral:rRNA from 1 species